AUGCUCUCCUGCGGCCUUCUGGGUAACAAGGAACGAGUUUGGGGUAGGGAGGGUGGUGGGUCAUUGGCCUAUGCAAUGGCCUUAUCACGCGUCCCCUUUCUUUCACAGUGAUAGAACGGAACCCCGGUCUGGGCCGAGGUCCAUGUGAGUCAACGGACCAGUC